rnacentral:rRNA from 1 species
AACGAACGCUGGCGGCAUGCCUAACACAUGCAAGUCGAACGAGACCUUCGGGUCUAGUGGCGCACGGGUGCGUAACGCGUGGGAACCUGCCCUUAGGUUCGGAAUAACUCCCCGAAAGGGGUGCUAAUACCGGAUAAUGUCUUCGGACCAAAGAUUUAUCGCCUUUGGAUGGGCCCGCGUUGGAUUAGCUAGUUGGUAGGGUAAAAGCCUACCAAGGCGACGAUCCAUAGCUGGUCGGAGAGGAUGCCCAGCCACACUGGGACUGCGACACGGCCCAGAAUGCUACGCGACGGUGGAGAGUGGAAUAUUAUAGGCGGAGGCCUGGUGCAGCACCGCCGCGUGCGGUAUGUGAGCCUGGGGUUAGGAUUCCAAUGUCGUCUUUGCCGAGGCGUGAGUGACGGUACCGGGUGAAGAAGCACCGGCUAACUACGUG